AAAGCUGAUCUAAUUAUUCAUCUCAGAAAAUUCCGAGUGUCAAAAAGGUAAAUAAGAGCCUAGUGCUUUCUUAACUGGCUGAAGGGUAGGACAUGCUGAUAUUGGGAAAGUUUGGUGCACCUGGUACUCUAACAGUCUCUUUCUGAUACUAAAACCAAGAAAAGGCAGCUCUAAGACCACUUUCAAUACUACCAGCAUCUAAGCAAAUCUCCUGCACUGCCCAGGACAGGAGAUACAGGCCUGUCAGGAGGGCCCUAUUCCUCUUCAAAGUGUGUAGGAUGGUAUGCUGCAAGAAGUUUUGUUUAAAAUCUACAGGAACACAAACCCAAGAUGUAUAUGUGUUUUGAGAAGCAGUUCACCUAUUCCGCUUUCUGAAGCCAACUUUUACUUGACAUUAAGCCUCAGUAAAAGCAGCCUUUGUUGAGGAUCCAUACGGCUUUCUGUGUAUAGUAGCGCAGGUGUCAACACAAAGAGGUUCAAGAGAGUUGCAAAAUAUAGUAAUGUUUUAUUUUGCAUAGCUGAGUCUUCUAAUGAGGUUAAAAAAUGUUAUAUGUCACAGCCACAGGCAAAAUACUAGCUACAAGUAUGUAAAUCAAAGCUAUUUAAGCAAUUCUGGUACCUUUUCUGGGUAAGUAGAUUCUUCAACAUACUGGAGACAGUGCAUUGGAGGAGCACCAAGAUGAAAAGAGACUUAGAGAACCAUCUUCAUUGAGCUGUAAGAAAAGAAGGAAAAGGGAGGAUUUUAACUGCUGUCUUCAACUGCAGACUCUUCAAGGUGUGUAAUGGUAAGAAAAGAGACAACAGACAUAAACGGCAAUGCAGGAAGUUGUGACUGGAAACAGGUGCCCAGAGAGGUGGAAUUUCCAUUCUCAAAGAUACUAAAAUCUCAGCUGGACAAAGACCUAACAGGUUGCUUUCACAGGAAGAAUGAAGCAUUUGCACAUCAGCUAUUUUUGAGGAUUCACAAUUUCUGCCUAGAGAGCAGCAGAAUGAAAUGUUUGCUUAGUGCUUUGCAGCUCGUCUUAUAGCAAAAGAAGAUGUUGUCAAGAAAAUUAAACUUUCAGCAAUUGAACAUGAAGAUGUAAGCACUGACCACUGAUAGAUGAAGAUGUAAUAAGGUGUAUCCCCUUCAGCUUGGAAAGAACCGCAGAAAGGUACCUAUGCUGGAGUCCUGUCAUGCGUCGAUCAACCCAGCCCUUAGAGUACUUCAAACCAACUUCUGUUUUUUACUGAUGCUGCUUCAAGCUGGUUGAUGGUUUUUGCACUGAAAAGCAAAGCAGACAGUCCUAACAAGACCACUUACAUAGUACCAUCAUGAAUGCGGUAGAUGCACAGCAGCCAAAAUGAACUGGCUUACUGUAGCAGGCCAUGCCAACACUUCUUCAGGCAUCAGACAUGUUAUAUAAAAAGGGGCAAACCAGACAAGUUCAGGACAAACAGGACAAAAAGGCAAGACCUUUCCAUUUCAACUACUGAGGCAGCUGAAAUUCUGGGGAAGGGGAGGGGGACUCAGUAUUUAAAUGGUUCUCUUUUUUCCCCGCAUUUUUCAUUUUCUUUAAAAUGCUCGUAGACUAUAUUGAAAUUAUUUUUUAAUUUUGCCAUUCCACAUGAAAAGCAAAGUUUCCUGGCUACAGGGUCUUCAGUUUGCUACACACAGAAAGAAGCAUGUGAAAUGCAGGUGAUUUGAUCAGAUCUGAGAACCUAGAGAAACCGCAGUUACCUUCCUGAGCUGCCUGAAUUUUUGUCAUCUUACUUUGGACAUCUUUGCAGAAAAUUUUGAAGAAAUUGGGAGUGCCAUGUUUUUCCUGUAUUUCACAUAGAAAAAUGGAAGAGAAAAAUAGUGGGACAAAAAUAAUAGCAAUAAUCUAGAAUAAAGCUUUAUAUUAAUUUUCAGCAUAAAAGGAUUUCCACUCUAGUGAUAGUUUGGUCUUUACUGUACUUUGCUCCUGCUGAUUCUCCUGAAUUGCUUCAGCCAAUUCUCACUGGAAAAAUAAAACUCAUGACCAAGAA